rnacentral:lncRNA from 1 species
AGGGGUGUUCGCGGUGCGGUUUGGGCGGUUUUGGCGAUAAAAAUCAUCCGAACCGCAAGAGAAAAAAGCAUGCGGUUUGGUUUGGUUCGGUUGGCUUUUAGAAAUAAAACCAAACCAAACCAAUGCGGUUUGGGUUGGUUCGGUUGGUUCGGUUUUUUAUAAUAUUUUUAUUGUGCCAUACAUACACCUAUAGAGAACAACAUAACUUUGUAUUUAGUCAUUCAUACAUGACUAAAUAACAUCAAAACUCAUCAUAUUUAGACAAAAAUAUUUCAUUCAAUAUACAAAAAAUUAGAUUCGACAAAAAUGGAAUAAAAAACAUAUAUAAAUAGUAGCAUAAAAUAAUAUCAAAGACAUUAUAAUAAAACAUAAAAAACAUAUGAGAUGAGAGAUUAGAGAAGAUGAAAAAAAGAACAUAAGAGAUGCGAGAUUGAGAAGAAAUGUGCGAUAAAAAUAUAAUUAAAAGAGAAAAUAGUAACAUAAAAGAUGAAAAAGAAAGAACAUAAGAGAUGAUUUAUUAGAGUAGAAUAGGCGAAACCUACAUGGAAAAGAAGACGAGAAGAAUGUGUGAUACUACUAUGAGAGAUUUAAGAAGGUUGGAAUUGAAACCCUAAGCGUGAGUAAG